rnacentral:rRNA from 1 species
AUUGAACGCUGGCGGCAUGCCUUACACAUGCAAGUCGAACGGUAACGCGGGGCAACCUGGCGACGAGUGGCGAACGGGUGAGUAACGCAUCGGAACGUGCCCAAUAGUGGGGGAUAGCCCGGCGAAAGCCGGAUUAAUACCGCAUACGACCUACGGGUGAAAGCAGGGGAUCGCAAGACCUUGCGCUAAUGGAGCGGCCGAUGUCAGAUUAGGUUGUUGGUGGGGUAAAAGCCCACCAAGCCGACGAUCUGUAGCUGGUAUGAGAGGACGACCAGCCACACUGGGACUGAGACACGGCCCAGACUCCUACGGGAGGCGGCAGUGGGGAAUUUUGGACAAUGGGCGCAAGCCUGAUCCAGCCAUGCCGCGUGCGGGAUGAAGGCCUUCGGGUUGUAAACCGCUUUUGUUAGGGAAGAAAUCUUUUGAGCUAAUACCUCGGAAGGAUGACGGUACCUAAAGAAUAAGCACCGGCUAACUACGUGCCAGCAGCCGCGGUAAAAC